rnacentral:rRNA from 1 species
UGGGGAAUAUUGGACAAUGGGCGAAAGCCUGAUCCAGCCAUGCCGCGUGUGUGAAGAAGGUCUUCGGAUUGUAAAGCACUUUAAGUUGGGAGGAAGGGUUGUAGAUUAAUACUCUGCAAUUUUGACGUUACCGACAGAAUAAGCACCGGCUAACUCUGUGCCAGCAGCCGCGGUAAUACAGAGGGUGCAAGCGUUAAUCGGAAUUACUGGGCGUAAAGCGCGCGUAGGUGGUUUGUUAAGUUGGAUGUGAAAUCCCCGGGCUCAACCUGGGAACUGCAUUCAAAACUGACAAGCUAGAGUAUGGUAGAGGGUGGUGGAAUUUCCUGUGUAGCGGUGAAAUGCGUAGAUAUAGGAAGGAACACCAGUGGCGAAGGCGACCACCUGGACUGAUACUGACACUGAGGUGCGAAAGCGUGGGGAGCAAACAGGAUUAGAUACCCAGGUAGUCCCUGAGCGGGCUGGCAAGGCGCAU